rnacentral:sRNA from 1 species
UUUGGGAAAGAAUCAGCAAAGUUAGAGAUGUUUUUCCUGUCAUGUAAUAAGGCGGCAUUAUUGUGAAUAUUGUGCACACAGAGAUUUUGAGUGCGUUUGGGCUGGAUCUUAGUUAGACCUCCUUCAAUUAUACUCAAAAAGCAAGAAAGUAAGCGGGGAACGGAAAUGUAAAAGCUUGUGACGGGCUCUCAACUCAUUUACAAUAGCAAAAUAAAACAAAGCGUCUGUGCAACAGUGCGUAUGAUUUACAAUGUUUACCAGGGAGUGGGCCGGAGUGAAGUUAAGUAAAGUCACUGCUGCUGCGGACAACUUGAUGAUGUUAUUUGUUGAGCAAACUAAGCAACUCGCACUCUAAAAUCCCUUCUGCUCUCCCCCUGUUUACUUAUGUGACUUUCCCGGACCUGGCCUGGGGGAAAUUAUGUGCGGAAAUGUAUUCGAAGCCAGCGGUAUGAUUUGAUGGAAUGUGGGAACAACUCAAUUUCCAGGAAUUUCCAGGAAUACAAUUAAUUCAACUAGUGAGCCGAGGAUUAUGGGCGAGGCGGCAGCCGAGUCUAAUUACUUUGCUAAUGAUCUGCAUAAUAAUUUACUUACACUUGAGGGCAUCGUAUA